rnacentral:lncRNA from 1 species
GCUAGAUUCUGAGCGUAUUUUAACAUUUUAAACCGGUGUCUCUUUCUGAGAAAGAAUCCAAAUAAUCGACUCAAAAGGUGUUGAUUUUGUCUGCUGAAUACGAUUCGCAACUGAUAAUUAAAUGUUUGAUAUUGUUUAUGAAACCUUUGAUAAAUUAGGUGUACAGGUUUUUUUUUUUUCAGGUUAUGAUGUCCCGAAAAAAAAAACAACUCCUGGAUUAUUGUGCAAAUGAUCUGCAAAUAGUUUGGAUGUUUAGAGAACAAAUAAACAGGAACUCAUUGAGCUGUUCACCGUAUUAAAAGACCUUAAGGCUGACUUCUUUUUUUCUUCCUCUUGAUGUUACGCCCCCUAAACAAAUUAUCUCAGAAGCAAGACGAUUCUGGAUCCUAACCGAAACUAGAUCACGAGGGAAGAUGGUAUCCCCUGCCCGGCAGCCUGGGGCGACUUCAAUUUCACGUCGUGUGCGACCCCUCCAUUGGCUCUCCCGGUCUGUGUGCGGCGAGAGGAAGAAAACCGCCCCCCCCCCCGGGGCUCGAGCUGGGGGUCGACAGAUCUUCCGCCCCGACGCCGCGCAGCUCGCGCUGGAACUGGGCUCGCGUGAGGGGAGGAAGAGGAGGGGGGGGACGGGGCAGAGGUCUCAGUUUAAGAAGCCACACACAAGAACCCCAGGGGUUCCCGGAUCCCCGGUUGAAAAUCCCUGUUCCUCGGGCACCGCACUGCCUCUAGAGGGCGCAGUACCGACAGCAGGCUGGCGUCUGGCAUUGUCACGCUGCAAGCCGUGCAGCGGGUAA